GACGAACGCUGGCGGCGUGCUUAACACAUGCAAGUCGAACGAAGAGCGAUGGAAGCUUGCUUCUAUCAAUCUUAGUGGCGAACGGGUGAGUAACGCGUAAUCAACCUGCCCUUCAGAGGGGGACCACAGUUGGAAACGACUGCUAAUACCGCAUACGAUCUAAUCUCGGCAUCGAGGAUAGAUGAAAGGUGGUCUCUACAUUUAAGCUAUCACUGACGGAGGGGAUUGCGUCUGAUUAGCUAGUUGGAGGGGUAACGGCCCACCAAGGCGAUGAUCAGUAGCCGGUCUGAGAGGAUGAACGGCCACAUUGGGACUGAGACACGGCCCAGACUCCUACGGGAGGCAGCAGUGGGGAAUCUUCCGCAAUGGACGAAAGUCUGACGGAGCAACGCCGCGGGAGGGAUGACGGCCUUCGGGUUGUAAAGCUCUGUUAAUCGGGACGAAAGGCCUUCGUGCGAAUAGUGAGAAGGAUUGACGGUACCGGAAUAGAAAGCCACGGCUAACUACGUG
rnacentral:rRNA from 1 species